rnacentral:lncRNA from 1 species
AAUGACUUAGAAGCUCCACAGCUCAUUAGUGGUGGUCCACCAACAGAACUCGCUCCCCCACCAGAGGACAUCAGGCCAGUGGCAGAACCCAAUGAGAGGUCUAAUCAGCAACACUGGUUCGCAGACGCACAGCGGCCACACAGCAGUUCACCUGUCUAGUAUGCCCACCCCGCUGCGUCUGGGAGGCUGGACGGAGGAACAGGAGGAGGAGGAAGAGGAAGUCCUCAACAGGGGAUCGACUCCUAAACAGGACUCCAGGAGUAGUUGUUAAAGUGCCUUAAAUAAAGGGUGUUUACACUCCUUUCUCGAUGAACAGUGUGGCCUUAGAUGAUCCUUUUUGGAGAGUAUUAUGACAUCACGUAACACAACAAGGCAGUUGGGAGAGCUCAUUGGAUAACCAUUGUCUCAGUCUCCACCCCACUACCAUGCCUCUCCUAUCACAUCAGGAGUUGUUGUGGCAUCAGGGAAACUGACCUGUCUUCCAUCCCUAUCGCCAUGUCAUAAUUUUGUUAUAAAAUGUAUAAAUAUCGCUCAUAGAGGACUGGAGUCUAUAUGUGUGUGUGUUUGUGUGAGUGUGAAAGAGCGUUGUGUGUGUGUUUAGAACUCGGGGAAAGGGUGGCAUGCACAGCCAGGACACUUGCAGGGCAGGCUUGAGCAUGGUACAUAGCAACACCUGUCACACUUUUGUUGCGUUUCUUCAUGUGUUUAUUUUAUUAACGUUUUAUUUGUGCAUCUGGGAGGUUUACAAUGUGGGUCUGGGUUCACUUUCUCAUGGUGGAAAUGGUGUCUUAUCUGGUGCUGAAGAGAGUAUGGAGUGAAGGUCUAUCAUACUAGCUGCCUGACCAUUUUCACUAUAUGAGGAAAGUUGAGUACAAAAUUAUACAUUGGCGUAUUUGGCCAUUACUUAUUAUUGCUUGACAUUUGUAAAUACACUUUAGCGUCUUACCUCUAUAUGUUCUGGCAGUUUUAAUGAUUGGGAAAGAUGCGAAGUAAUGCAGUGACAUGAAGUAGGCUGCAACUAUACUACUUAGGUCACCAUUAGGACCCAACAAGAAAAUCUGACAAAAGCCUCCAGAUGGACUAGAUUCAUUAACCACGUUUCUAAACUGGACAUAAUCUCAUUGAAAGCUGCUGUCUAUGACUUUAAUGGGCUUAAUACCAUGUUUUCUUCAGUAUUAAGUUAUUUAUCUUCUUUUUAAAGUCCUUGGGGACCCUUAAAACAGUAUUUAACAGGUAAUAACUUGAUUAUUCUGUAUCAAAGGAUCACCAAUGUUCUGUCUCCACUGGCAACAGAGAUGUGUUACUUGACAAAUGCACGAAGAUCAAGAUGACAUAUUUGCCCAGGCAGUAACUACAUUGUUGUGGGUAGCUAUGAGAAUAGGCAAUGCAGAGUCGCAUAUCAUGUACAGUAAAUCAUUAAGUGUUGUUGAUUUUGCAUGUACUGCUCAACAUUUUGUUCACGGAACACUUCCCCCCCAAUGUACACAGAAGAAGUGAACUUUUUAUUAUACGGGCUGUUCCUAAAAUUGUCAUUACAGCAGUUGGAGUUUGUGGUUUUACUUUAUUUGUAAGUUAAUCCUAUGUCAGUAUUUUACUUUUCUCAGAGAACAGCCUAAGAUGUCAUUUUAAAUAAGAUAAUUCUCCCUUUGUUGUCCCAAAUAUUUAAACUGUCCAGAUUUCUGAGAUAUGACCUAUAAUGAAUUAUUUAAUUAAUUACAAUAUGAGUGAAAUAGUAAUUAUGUUAAGAAGCAGCUUUUCUUUGUUGGUGGUAUGGGUGAACCCCAACAACAGAAUGUUUUGGGUGUAUACCGGUCAUGCAAAUAGAGAGCUGAUUGGCCAGCUCAGCCAAUGAGCCAACGCGAUAUCGUAUUAUAUGACAAAAUUGCAAGCAUUUUUUUAAUAGUCUGGUUGAGAUACAAGUUUGAUGUGGGUUUUUUGAAGUCCUUUUUUUUUCUCUUCAAUUUAUGUUUUGUACACAAAUACAAGUAUAGGACGAGUCAGCAACAUUAUUUGAGUACGAGUUAACAGAAU